UAAAAAUAGCACAUUCCGGCGCAGCCGUUCACCUUGUGCCAAGCGCUCCCGCGCCCCGUCCGCGGCACAGAUGCGCCUUCUCCCUCCUGCCUCCUCCUCUCCUCGCAGCAGCUGAAUAUACACCAGCAGCAAACACUGCCAGCGCCUUUCAGCCUUGCCGACGGCAGGAAAUUCACCGAGCUGAUGUCGGCCGCGGGGUACGCACGACUUCGUACGUGCACUUUUGGACAGUGAGGUUUGCCUCGUGUGCCCACGUAUCAGAGGACAAUGACCUUCAGUUUAUGCUCUCUAGCUGCUGCAUUUAAAACCACAGCCCAAAGUGCUUCCACGCAAGUCAACUGAUCAACUCAGUAGCUCGAAGCCACAGCACAAUGUCAUCCUCGAAGUGGACCGGGCACAAGAGAAAAAGGGGAAAGUCACGCAUUUUAUAGGCAUCUUCUGCCAGGACCCCUCCGGCAUAAUUUGAACAUGCAAACUGGCUUCACGGUCCCCAGUGGCUGAGCUGGUGUAUUUGCAUACACAUUUCUAGAGGCCUGUUUAAAAAUGCAGCCACCGUUCAAAUCUCUGACUGUGAAACUCUUUGCAGAGCCAGAGUUCACCUGUGGAGCUAUCAGCGCUCUCUGCAAGCUCUUCCCCUCCUCACCUCCAUUCCAUAUGACUCUGCUUUUCUGGACUGACAGACCCUGGGCAGCUCUUACCUUCUUUGGCCUUUCGUGGUGGGAUACAUGCUUCUCUUGAGCAGGGGACGUGGAUCGGCUCCUUCUGCCAGCAAUGAAGGAGCUACCACCAGAGUGACGCGAGGUCUUCUGAGGCACAGAUACAAUCUAGGAUGAAGAUGAUGCCUUACAUGUGACAAAAAACUCCACUGGAGGGAUGAAGAGACUCACCAUUUUAUUGAAGUGGUACUUGCAGUAGCCACAAUAUUUGACAUUGUCGACUUCUAGGACUUCCUCUUCACAUAAGAGGCCAGCCAUCUGGGCACUGAAAUACACAGAGUCGGGAGGUUGAUAAAGCAAAUUGUACAGCCAGACUACACAGCCCAUCAACAGGUGAACAAUUGCUCAGGAUACUCAGGCAGGAUCUUGGAGUCUCCUGUCCCGCUUGGCAAGCCUGGGGGACCAGUAACAAUUCUGGCGAAAGACACAUCAUGAACAAGGAAUUCAUGUAAAGCUGGGAAUCCCCUUACUCUCCAGAAUGUUGUUUUGAGGCUCCCAGGCUACAUGAGGAUAUCAGCCCUUAAAAUCACAUCAUUUAGAUGACACUCUUGCAUGUGCUGUGCUCAAGAAAGAACAUUCCUGGCUUGUGACUCAUCUCUUCUCUCCUUGUAUUCCACACAGUCCUAGGGAAAUCCCCACCCCUUCAUUCUCCCCAGGGAAGGCUCGCUGGUGAAAUUUCAGCCAUCCUGGGGAAGUUCCCUUCAUGAAUUGAGCAGGGGUGAUAUACCCAGGGUGAUCAAGGGUGAUGUGUCCAACUCCCCAUGCCACCUGUUUUGUGUGGCCCCAAAGCCAUAGCAGUAAAAACAAUAUCUGGGGCGGCUCCUGAGGCGAUGCUGUGGGGAACUCACCAGGUGA